rnacentral:rRNA from 1 species
UACGGAGGGUGCAAGCGUUAUCCGGAUUCACUGGGUUUAAAGGGAGCGCAGGCGGAUUGGUAAGUCAGUGGUGAAAUACCCGUGCUUAACAUGGGAACUGCCAUUGAUACUAUCAGUCUUGAAUGUUGUUGAGGUUUGCGGAAUGGGUCAUGUAGCGGUGAAAUGCAUAGAUAUGACCCGGAACACCUAUUGCGAAGGCAGCAGGCUAAACAAAUAUUGACGCUGAGGCUCGAAAGCGUGGGGAUCAAACAGG